UGGGAGAUAGUUUAGCGGUAGAACUAUCGGCUCUGACCCGGUUAGCCCAGGUUCGAAUCCAGGUCUCCCAG
rnacentral:tRNA from 1 species